GGUUAGGUAGUUUAUAAGUUUUAAAAGAACAGACAACAACUUACGUUAGUUCAUUCAUCAGAUUCAAACAACAGACAGUCAGAAAGGCUUAAUAUCAGGGAAGAAGAAAGACAGAGGAGAGGGAAAGAGAUUGCUGAUUAAGGCUACUAAGAGGAUUUUCGGAUUUGCUACUUGAAAGUAAAAUUUACGAGAUCAUGUUGUGAUUUGGUCAACCACGCGGGAACUUUGGGGAGUGAUGUUUAAUUUAGUAGCACUUAAAUUAUCUAGGAUUUAUUUAAAUAUUAUGAACAUCGUACUAUCUUAAUUAGUAUUCAGACUUUUAUCUUGACUUAGUAGCUUUAUGGUUUUGGAGAUUUAA